rnacentral:rRNA from 1 species
UACGUAGGGGGCUAGCGUUGUCCGGAAUCAUUGGGCGUAAAGCGCGUGUAGGCGGCCCGAUAAGUCCGCUGUGAAAAUCCAGGGCUCAACCCUGGGAUGCCGGUGGAUACUGUCGGGCUCGAGUCCGGAAGAGGCGAGUGGAAUUCCUGGUGUAGCGGUGAAAUGCGCAGAUAUCGGGAGGAACACCGGUGGCGAAGGCGGCGACCUGGGUAGAUACUGACGCUGAGGCGCGAAAGCGUGGGGAGCAAACAGG